rnacentral:rRNA from 1 species
CCCCGGCUCAACCGGGGAGGGUCAUUGGAAACUGGGGAACUUGAGUGCAGAAGAGGAGAGUGGAAUUCCACGUGUAGCGGUGAAAUGCGUAGAGAUGUGGAGGAACACCAGUGGCGAAGGCGACUCUCUGGUCUGUAACUGACGCUGAGGAGCGAAAGCGUGGGGAGCGAACAGGAUUAGAUACCCUGGUAGUCCACGCCGUAAACGAUGAGUGCUAAGUGUUAGGGGGUUUCCGCCCCUUAGUGCUGCAGCUAACGC